UCUUCCCUGCGGUGUUCGCUAAGGCAUACAUUCCUUUGAACCAAUAAGUUCGCUUAAGGUUUCCGGGAGUUUACAGUGGGCGCGAGCGUUCUUUCUAUUGGAAUGCACCCGAAGCUGUCCGAGGAGACCACCUUGUCUGACAAGGUUCAAGCGGAUUGAGCCUUAAAAACGGCACCAGCGGGGAUCCC
rnacentral:other from 2 species